GAUGAACGCUGGCGGCGUGCCUAAUACAUGCAAGUCGAGCGAAUGGAUUAAGAGCUUGCUCUUAUGAAGUUAGCGGCGGACGGGUGAGUAACACGUGGGUAACCUGCCCAUAAGACUGGGAUAACUCCGGGAAACCGGGGCUAAUACCGGAUAACAUUUUGAACCGCAUGGUUCGAAAUUGAAAGGCGGCUUCGGCUGUCACUUAUGGAUGGACCCGCGUCGCAUUAGCUAGUUGGUGAGGUAACGGCUCACAAAGGCAACGAUGCGUAGCCGACCUGAGAGGGUGAUCUGCCACACGGGGACUGAGACACGGCCCAGACUCCGACGGGAGGUAGCAGUAGGGAAUCUUCCGCAAUGGACGAAAGUCUGACGGAGCAACGCCGCGUGAGUGAUGAAGGCUUUCGGGUCGUAAAACUCUGUUGUUAGGGAAGAACAAGUGCUAGUUGAAUAAGCUGGCACCUUGACGGUACCUAACCAGAAAGCCACGGCUAACUACGUGCCAGCAGCCGCAGUAA
rnacentral:rRNA from 1 species